rnacentral:misc_RNA from 1 species
CUGAGUCGUAAAAAACUCCCAACCCAUGUGAAUUUACCUUUGUUGCCUCGGCGGGUCCUAUUCGGGAUCUACCCUAUAGCCCGCCGGUGGACUAUUUAACUCUUGUUAUUUUAUAGAAAUCUGAGCGUCUUAUUAAAUAAGUCA